CAUGGUAGGUGGAGGCCCAUUCUCAGGGCUGUGAUCAAUUAAAGCAGAAAUGGGCCUUGAAGUCCUACUGGGACACAUAUCAUAAAGGAGAGCAGGAAGCUAGAGGGAAUUUCCAAAGAUGCAGAGCUAAAGAAAUAUGUAGAUGAAUUAAAGUAAUAUACACAUUUAUGAAGAUUAACUUCGCAAUGAAGUAUAGAUAAAACUGCACACUGUUUACAGAUGGGUUACAACAAUUGUGAGGCUGAUGCCCAUUAAGCCGGAUGGGUCUCCCUGUUGUGAACUGUUCACUCAGGUUCAUUUCUGAUUUGAGCCUCUGGGGGAAGGGGCGUGGCCCCUGAGUGACAAGUUGGCUCUGGGGCCUGGAGGGACAGUGACAUCUCAGAAGGACUCCCUGGAGAGCCCCUCUCCCCUCUCAUCCACACACACACCAGAGGGCCCUCUGCAACCCCACCCCCGCCAUGAGCCCCUGCCUCCUGGGCUGUGUGGUCUUCUGUCUCCUGCAGGCAGGGGCGGUCCAUGCUGGGGUCACUCAGGACCCCAGAUUCCAGGUCGUGAGGAGAGGACAGAGCAUGACACUGAAAUGUACUCAGGAUCUGGGUCAUGACUACAUGUACUGGUACCGACAAGUCCCAGGACACGGGCUAAGGCUGAUCCAUUACUCAGCUGGUGUGCACACUAGCGAGCCAGGAGACAUGCCCGACGGGUACAGCGUCACUAGAUCAAACACAGAGAACUCUCCUCUCACGCUGGAGUCUGCCAACCACUCUCAGACAGUUGUGUACUUCUGUGCCAGCAGUUACUCCACGGCGCUGCAGGGUCAUCUGCUCUCUGUUGAAAAAGACAAGGGCCCACAUGCAGGAUCCUAG